AACAACUCCCAUGAUCCCACACUACUUUACGACGUCAUCAAAGUCCGUCUCUUGUUAUUGUUUUGAUUGACAGAGCCCUGGCGGCAGUAAUUACAUAGCUUAGUCUGUGUUUAGGUGCUCAUCUUUGUUCUGUAGGUUGAAUGACCAAAAGAAAAGUGGUUUGGGUUAUGUAAUAGGUGCAGUGAGUUGGCUUUCCUUCUACCUACCAACCUACCUACCAACCUAUGUGCAUCCUGCUGAACCAUAAUUGGAAUCCAUGAGGGAAAACACCUUGACUGGCUCAGCCUGAUGACAGAAGAUGCAUCGAGAAACUUUACUUUCCAAAGCUUCCACCCUGCACAGAUUUUAAAUGAGAGAAAUUACACAAACCAACAUAUGAAGAAUGCAAUGAACAGAAAGAGGGAGGGGAGCGAGGUGAGAUGGGGGAUUGACAGAGAGAGGUGGAGGCAGGAAGAACUGGAGGCUGCAGGACAGAGAGAGCAGCGGAGGAAGAAGCACACACCUGGAGUUCAGGAACAUACUUAAAAAGUAGUGAAAAGUGAAACCCAUUUGACAAGUGACU
rnacentral:lncRNA from 1 species